rnacentral:rRNA from 1 species
GGGCUUGACAUCCCACGAACCUGUGGGAAACCACGGGGCGCCGCAAGGAGCAGUGAGACAGGUGGUGCAUGGUUGUCGUCAGCUCGUGUCGUGAGAUGUUGGGUUAGGUCCCGCAACGAGCGCAACCCUCACUCCUUGUUGCCACCAGGUAAUGCUGGGAACUCUAGGGGAACUGCCCCGGUCAACGGGGAGGAAGGUGGGGAUGACGUCAAGUCAUCAUGCCCCUUACGUCCUGGGCUACACACGUGCUACAAUGGCCGGUACAGAGGGAUGCAAGACCGCGAGGUGGAGCUAAACCCAAAAAGCCGGUCUAAGUUCAGAUUGGAGUCUGCAACUCGACUCCAUGAAGGAGGAAUCGCUAGUAAUCGCGUAUCAGCACGACGCGGUGAAUACGUUCCCGGGCCUUGUACACACCGCCCGUCACACCACGAAAGCCAGCUGUACUCGAAGUCGCUGAG